AUUGUUACACUCAUUCUCCCUCAAAGCCCCACCUCCCAAGGUCCUUUGUGCUUCCAAAAAGGCCAGAGCUUGUUAUCUAACACAGACGCACGCACGCAGACCAGCUCCACUCGACUCUCCCUCAAAGCCCCACCUCCCAAGGUCCUUUGUGCUUCCAAAAAGGCCAGAGCUUGUUAUCAAACACAGACACGCACGCACACCAGAUCCACUCCGAAUCCAUCUGAAUUAAUCCUCUGCUUCAAGCAUCCUAUCCAUGGCAGAACUUUUUUUUUUUUGAAAUUCUCCCCACUUCCCCCUUUUUUCUCAACGGUUUGCAACCUCCAGAAGAUCCAUAAACCGAUCCAAUCCUCGUCUGACACCUCCGGCUUCACCCUAAGACAACACCCAAAAAUCCGAUACAGAUCCGGAAUUAGCGAACGAAAAACAAGCUAGCGCCCCUACUACGAGGAAACCGAAGAAGUAGAUCCGCCCAUAACCGAGCCCCUCCGCGCCCUAAAAAGGCCGAUCCAGAAGAAACCCUAGGCCGCCGCUGCUGCAAUCCGCCACAAAUCAGACUGGAAGCCCAGAGAAGAGAACCAAAACUUGGAAACGAGAAAAACAUCUGCCGUUACACCCCAUAAAUCGAAAAAAAAAAAAAAAAAACCACUUCUCCAUCCCCAAAAUGACGAGAAAAAACCACUUCUUCAUCCCUAAAGGACAAGAAAACAACAGCCCUUCACCUCUAAGGUGCCGGCAAAGCACGUAGAGAGAAAGAAAAUUAUUGGUAAACAAAAACUACCACAAACCACUAGGGAGGAGGGAAGCGUAAGGCGUCCCUCCUCCAUGAACACGCUCGAAAAAAGAUUUUUGCCUUCAGAGGAAAAAUCGCCUGAGAGAGAGAUAUUGAAUCCAUGGCAGAACUGAUGGCUCUUUUGAUUCUACUGUCGUCCUUGAUUUCAGUUUCAGUGUCACAAGCAUGAAGAAGGCAAUUUCAGAGUUCCAAGAAAAUUCUGCGCAGUUUCCAACUCAGCAAAAGUCGGAUCCAUUGCAUCCGUCUGGAAGGACCAGAGACACAUCCAGACGCCCAUCUGUGUUCGAGAAGAUUCCUAACAACUCAGUAUUUCAGCAUGCAUCAGUUUGGACGACAGGGCAACACCGUCAGGAUGCUUUUCAAUGUUCGAGAAGAAUCUAAAAUCCUUUGCAGACAUGGAUUGGUGAAGACAACUUGCAACCAUCUAGAUGCUAGGGCAUUACCGUCCGGACGCGGUCCUUAAUAAGGCAACACGUGAAGCGCAUUAUGGAAGUCAAUUGUAGUUUUCUGUCCGGACGCUCUAUGCCUACGUCCGGACGCCGCCUAGAGAACUCCGAAACAGUGUUAAAUUAGGUUUUCAAAAGCCUAUAAAUAGAGGUCUCUAGGCAUGUAUUAUUUAUAGAAUUCAGUAUUGAAUUCCUUUGAGCUUAGAGAGGGUGUUUAGGUAGAAAUUGUGAGAUUUGCUAGCUCUCUAAAAGUUGUCCAUUGUGUGAUUUGAUCGUGUGAAGUCUAGCUUAGGGAGGAGCCUUAAGCUAAAAGAUUCCAUUGAAGACCCCUUUAGGUAAGAGACUUGGUUGGGAAGCGUUCACGUAUAGGUACGUGUUAGAGUGACGAUCGCAGCAUCGGGGUCUGUGAGUUUUACUGCUUUGUUGCUAGCUUUGUUUUCUAAAUAGUGGAUAUCCUGGGUUUGGCUGCC